AACCAAUGAUGAAAAUGAUUCUGCCAUAUGAAACUACUGAUUUCACUUUUUAACCGUUCCAAAUUUUCUGAGGUU
rfam:Xenopus laevis strain J chromosome 4L, whole genome shotgun sequence.